UACGUAGGGGGGCAAGCGUUUGUCCGGAUUUAUUGGGCGUAAAGAGCGUGUAGGCGGUUAGGUAGGUCCGUUGUGAAAACUCGAGGCUCAACCUCGAGACGCCGAUGGAAACCAUCUAACUAGAGUCCGGAAGAGGAGAGUGGAAUUCCUGGUGUAGCGGUGAAAUGCGCAGAUAUCAGGAAGAACACCCGUGGCUAAGGCGGCUCUCUAGUACGGUACUGACGCUGAGACGCGAAAGCGUGGGGAGCGAACAGG
rnacentral:rRNA from 1 species